UACGGGGGGGGGCAAGCGUUGUUCGGAAUUACUGGGCGUAAAGGGCUCGUAGGCGGCCAACUAAGUCGGACGUGAAAUCCCUCGGCUUAACCGGGGAACUGCGUCCGAUACUGGAUGGCUUGAGAUUGGGAGAGGAUGCGGAAUUCCAGGUGUAGCGGUGAAAUGCGUAGAUAUCUGGAGGAACACCGGUGGCGAAGGCGGGUCUCUGGGCCGAAACUGACGCUGAGGAGCGAAAGCGUGGGGAGCAAACAGG
rnacentral:rRNA from 1 species